CCGAAGCCACGCCCCCACAACACGUGAACGCGCGUUGCCGAUACCGCAGGAGGACGAGGACAGUGUGAUGAGCGGAGAGCAGCGGCUCACAUCAGGGGACUGCACCCCAGAGCCAAGCACAAACCAGGACAGGCCCGGGGUCGAGGCGAAGCAGAGGAAGGAGGGCUGCCGGGGUCCGAGGAAGAAGAGGCAGGACGGGGAAGACAAGGUGCAAGCUAAGGAGCACAUCUUCUAGGACCUGCGUCGAGCUUCACACUCCAACAACAGCAUAUGAACAGGCCAGAAUCUGAGGACUGUGAACAACAUUCAGACUACAGUGUUUCCAUGCACCACACAUGGCUGAUUCCAGACCCAGGACAGAGUAACAGACAGUUCUGUCAGGCAGUAUACAGACAGUUUGCAGUGUGGCAAUGUGGAGCACUUAGACACAGAGUCGUGAUACUGAGUUGCUGUUUCUGGAAGAUAUGCAACUGUUAUCCUGAUCCACUAGGACAAUACAGAGGUUUAAUCCUAGCAGGGUGUAAGAUGUAAUGUCACCAACUGCUACA